AUUGAACGCUGGCGGCAGGCUUAACACAUGCAAGUCGAGCGGGGGAAGGUAGCUUGCUACUGGACCUAGCGGCGGACGGGUGAGUAAUGCUUAGGAAUCUGCCUAUUAGUGGGGGACAACAUCUCGAAAGGGAUGCUAAUACCGCAUACGUCCUACGGGAGAAAGCAGGGGAUCUUCGGACCUUGCGCUAAUAGAUGAGCCUAAGUCGGAUUAGCUAGUUGGUGGGGUAAAGGCCUACCAAGGCGACGAUCUGUAGCGGGUCUGAGAGGAUGAUCCGCCACACUGGGACUGAGACACGGCCCAGACUCCGACGGGAGGUAGCAGUGGGGAAUAUUGGACAAUGGGGGGAACCCUGAUCCAGCCAUGCCGCGUGUGUGAAGAAGGCCUUAUGGUUGUAAAGCACUUUAAGCGAGGAGGAGGCUACUUUAGUUAAUACCUAGAGAUAGUGGACGUUACUCGCAGAAUAAGCACCGGCUAACUCUGUGCCAGCCGCCGCGGUAA
rnacentral:rRNA from 1 species